AUGAAGGUCUUAGGAUCGUAAAGCACUUUCGCCAGGGAUGAUAAUGACAGUACCUGGUAAAGAAACCCCGGCUAACUCCGUGCCAGCAGCCGCGGUAAUACGGAGGGGGUUAGCGUUGUUCGGAAUUACUGGGCGUAAAGCGCGCGUAGGCGGAUUGGAAAGUUGGGGGUGAAAUCCCGGGGCUCAACCCCGGAACUGCCUCCAAAACUAUCAGUCUAGAGUUCGAGAGAGGUGAGUGGAAUUCCAAGUGUAGAGGUGAAAUUCGUAGAUAUUUGGAGGAACACCAGUGGCGAAGGCGGCUCACUGGCUCGAUACUGACGCUGAGGUGCGAAAGUGUGGGGAGCAAACAGGAUUAGAUACCCUGGUAGUCCACACCGUAAACGAUGAAUGCCAGUCGUCGGGCAGUAUACUGUUCGGUGACACACCUAACGGAUUAAGCAUUCCGCCUGGGGAGUACGGUCGCAAGAUUAAAACUCAAAGGAAUUGACGG
rnacentral:rRNA from 1 species